GACGAACGCUGGCGGCGUGCUUAACACAUGCAAGUCGAACGGAAAGGCCCUGCUUUUGUGGGGUGCUCGAGUGGCGAACGGGUGAGUAACACGUGAGUAACCUGCCCUUGACUUUGGGAUAACUUCAGGAAACUGGGGCUAAUACCGGAUAGGAGCUCCUGCUGCAUGGUGGGGGUUGGACAGUUUCGGCGGUGGGGGAUGGGCUGGCGGCUUAUCAGCUUGUUGGGGGGGUAGUGGCUUACCAAGGCGUUGACGGGUAGCCUGCCUGAGAGGGUGACCUGCCACAUUGGGACGGGGAUACGGCCCAGACUCCUACGGGAGGCAGGAGUGGGGAAUAUUGCACAAUGGGCGGAAGCCUGAUGCAACAACGCCGCGUGCGGGAUGUCGGCCUUUGGUUUGUUAUCCGCUUUCGCCUGUGACGAAGCGUGAGUGACGGUAAUGGGUAAAGAAGCACCGGCUAACUACGUG
rnacentral:rRNA from 1 species